UCAAACUUGAGUUUGGUAAUUUAAUCUUUAGUUGACAAAAUGAGACGCGAAAUUUAAGUUUAAAUAUCUAAAGGAAUAAGUAUCCGCAAGUGAUUCAGCUGGUGCGAAAGAGCAUUUCCAAAGCAUUACUCCUGGGCCUAACUUUAGAUGAGUUAGACGAAGACGACCGGUGAUUUACACCACACUGAUAAGUCGUUCACAGUAAAACACAUUUUCCGAACUGCCAACUAACAAACAGCAAAAGUAACAAAACUGGUGUAAGGUAACACAACAAAAGUUGGCUGGAAGCUCCAAGUGGAAAUCUCUAAGGAACUGAUGAGAAUGUAAUGUAUAUUGAAUAUGACAGAAUAGAGCAUUUGGUGGAAUAUACAGUCACUCACACCUUAUUUGAUACAGAUACGAUUUUUUUA